AUGCUCGUCACGGCGCCGGUGUUCCUGGAAUUCUGCCGCUUGCUUUCUCUGACCGCGGGCAACAAGGAUCGCCUCUACAAGUCAUGCCGUCAUACACUUGCAUCGGUGCUCUGCUUGCCACUCUCAGGGCUCGUUGCCUCCAAUUCUCCUACCAAGGUGAUCGAGCAGGUCCUCCCGUUUGCCAAUGAAAUUGUCGAAUUGGUUCUGGAUGGACUUGGAUCAGACUCCAUGAUGGUGUCAAGGACAGACCUUGAGGAGCUCUCAAACUUCUUUGAAAUCUUGCGCCAGCAGGUACUCCUCUGGAUGCCAAAGAAUAUGUACAGCAGGGAGUGUAAGCGUACCGACACAUGGGUGUGGGAGUUGCAUGAAAUGUCGACGAACCUGCUGAAAAAGAUGGAUGAGUGUCUCGAGAGGUUGGAGAUGGAUCUUUCAUCUUUAUCAUCUGACAGUAUGGGGGUCAUAGAAAGUCAGCCAUUCAUGGCCAGCCGAUUACAUAUGCUUGCCAUAUUGACAGAACUGGAUAUUCGAGGAUGUGGCGCACAACCUUCGGUUAGUAUUGCUGGCACACAAAGCACCUCUCAAUGCGCUCGUGCGCCGUUCCAAGAGGAACGAGCAUCUCCACUGGCUCCUGAAGCAUAA
rnacentral:rRNA from 1 species